AGAGUUUGAUCCUGGCUCAGGACGAACGCUGGCGGCGUGCNUAAUACAUGCAAGUCGAGCGGACAGAUGGGAGCUUGCUCCCUGAUGUUAGCGGCGGACGGGUGAGUAACACGUGGGUAACCUGCCUGUAAGACUGGGAUAACUCCGGGAAACCGGGGCUAAUACCGGAUGCUUAUUUGAACCGCAUGGUUCAAACAUAAAAGGUGGCUUCGGCUACCACUUACAGAUGGACCCGCGGCGCAUUAGCUAGUUGGUGAGGUAACGGCUCACCAAGGCAACGAUGCGUAGCCGACCUGAGAGGGUGAUCGGCCACACUGGGACUGAGACACGGCCCAGACUCCUACGGGAGGCAGCAGUAGGGAAUCUUCCGCAAUGGACGAAAGUCUGACGGAGCAACGCCGCGUGAGUGAUGAAGGUUUUCGGAUCGUAAAGCUCUGUUGUUAGGGAAGAACAAGUACCGUUCGAAUAGGGCGGUACCUUGACGGUACCUAACCAGAAAGCCACGGCUAACUACGUGCCAGCAGCCGCGGUAAUACGUAGGUGGCAAGCGUUGUCCGGAAUUAUUGGGCGUAAAGGGCUCGCAGGCGGUUUCUUAAGUCUGAUGUGAAAGCCCCCGGCUCAACCGGGGAGGGUCAUUGGAAACUGGGGAACUUGAGUGCAGAAGAGGAGAGUGGAAUUCCACGUGUAGCGGUGAAAUGCGUAGAGAUGUGGAGGAACACCAGUGGCGAAGGCGACUNNNCGGUCUGUAAC
rnacentral:rRNA from 2 species